rnacentral:rRNA from 1 species
GAAUAUUGGACAAUGGGCGAAAGCCUGAUCCAGCAAUGCCGCGUGUGUGAAGAAGGCCCUCGGGUUGUAAAGCACUUUUAUCAGGAACGAAAUACCACGGGCUAAUACCUUGUGGGGCUGACGGUACCUGAGGAAUAAGCACCGGCUAACUUCGUGCCAGCAGCCGCGGUAAUACGAAGGGUGCAAGCGUUAAUCGGAAUUACUGGGCGUAAAGGGUGCGUAGGCGGUUAUUUAAGUCUGCCGUGAAAUCCCCGGGCUCAACCUGGGAAUGGCGGUGGAUACUGGAUAGCUAGAGUGUGUCAGAGGAUGGUGGAAUUCCCGGUGUAGCGGUGAAAUGCGUAGAGAUCGGGAGGAACAUCAGUGGCGAAGGCGGCCAUCUGGGACAACACUGACGCUGAAGCACGAAAGCGUGGGGAGCAAACAGGAUUAGAUACCCUGGUAGUCCACGCCCUAAACGAUGCGAACUGGAUGUUGGUCUCAACUCGGAGAUCAGUGUCGAAGCUAACGCGUUAAGUUCGCCGCCUGGGGAGUACGGUCGCAAGACUG